CGAGAUUAGAACUGGAGGAGGGAGAUCACUGCUGUAGAACUGGAGGGAGGGAGGGAGGGAGAUCACUGCUGUAGAACUGGAGGGAGGGAGAGAGGGAGAUCACUGCUGUAGAACUGGAGGGAGAUCACUGCUGUAGAACUGGAGGGAGGGAGGGAGUUACUGCUGUUGACUAAGGAGGGAGGGAGGGAGAUCACUGCUGUGUGCCUAGAGGUGAGGGAGGGAGGGAGGGAGAUCACUGCUGUGUGCCUAGAGGGAGGGAGGGGGGGGGAGGAGGGAGGAGGGAGGGAGGGAGGGAUAGGGAUGGGAGUCUGGAGGAGGGGGGAGGGAGGGAGGGAGGGAGGGAAGGGAAGGGAGUGGGAGGGGAGGGAGGAGGGAGAUCACUGCUGUGUGCCUCGAGGGAGGGAGGGAGGGAGAUCACUGCUGUGUGCCUAGAGGGGAGGAUGGAGGGAGGG
rnacentral:lncRNA from 1 species